GACGAACCGUGCGAACGUUAUUCGGAAUCACUGGGCUUAAAGGGCGCGUAGGCGGGCAGUCAAGUCAGGGGUGAAAUCCCACGGCUCAACCGUGGAAGGGCCUUUGAUACUGGCUGUCUCGAGGGAGGUAGGGGCGUGCGGAACUUCCGGUGGAGCGGUGAAAUGCGUAGAUAUCGGAAGGAACGCCGGUGGCGAAAGCGGCGCGCUGGACCUCUUCUGACGCUGAGGCG
rnacentral:rRNA from 1 species